GCCGCGAUGGCGCAACCUGGUACCGCGCGAGAUUGCUAAUCUCGUUUCCGAAAGGAUUUCUGGGUUCAAAUCCCAGUCGCGGCG
rnacentral:tRNA from 1 species